rnacentral:tRNA from 1 species
GGCUCAGUUGGUUGAGCAUCUGACUUCGGCUCAGGUCAGAUCUCAGUUUGUGGGUUCGAACCCCAU